CCCCGCCUCGCCGCCGCCGCCUUCCUCUCCCUCCGCCCCCUGCGUCCCCCGAGCCCCUCCCGCCGCCCAUCCCGGGCGGAGGCGCCGCGCGCUGGAAGGAGCCCGCCGCGGUCCCGGGCAGCCAAGGACCCCGUUCGCCGCCGUCCGGGGAGGGGAGGCGGAACCACGUGCGGUUCCGAGAGCAGCCGCCUCUUCCCACCAAGCCCCCUCCUCGCCCUCUGCCCCCUGCUCCGUUUACUCCCAAUUACCAAGACGGCCCUCCUCUUUAGGAUGUGUGUGGAAUAGAAAAGAUCCGGUUACCAACAACAAAUUAUGAAUGGAAGAUCAGCUACCACAUACAGAGUCUUGACUGAUAGCCUGAGACCGUUCAGACCCGGGACAGGGGAAUAAUGGGCCCCUUCGUCCUCAGAGGCAGUGUUAUUUAUUUACCCCAGGGCCUGCUUUAUCACCAUUUGAUUUCUUAAUUAUGGUUAUUUGCAAAAUAAACCACAUUUUGUGUUGG